rnacentral:rRNA from 11 species
AAGGUCUCCGUUGGUGAACCAGCGGAGGGAUCAUUAC